UCCGUGGGCUGCCCCGGGUCCGGACGGAGGCCGCGUCCCCCGCGCCCGGUCGAGGGGCGGACCGGCGCAUCGUGCUCCGGUUCCACUCCGAGCCGGUGGAG
rnacentral:tRNA from 1 species